AACGGCGAGUGAAGCGGCAAAAGCUCAAAUUUGAAAUCUGGCCUCCUUGGGGGUCCGAGUUGUAAUUUGGAGGAGGAUGCUUCGGGGUGCGGCCACCGGCGUAAGUCCCUUGGAACAGGGCGUCAUAGAGGGGUGAGAAUCCCGUCUUGAGCCGCCGGCACGCGCCCAUGCGAAGCUCCUUCAACGAGUCGAGUUGUUUGGGAAUGCAGCUCUAAGUGGGUGGUAAAUUUCAUCUAAAGCUAAAUAUUGGCCGGAGACCGAUAGCGAACAAGUAGAGUGAUCGAAAGGUUAAAAGCACCUUGAAAAGGGAGUUAAACAGCACGUGAAAUUGUUGAAAGGGAAGCGCUUGCAACCAGACUCGACCGCGGGGGCUCAGCGGGCAUGCUUGCCCGUGUACUCCCCCGUGCGCCGGGCCAGCAUCGGUUCGGGCGGCCGGUCAAAGGCCUCUGGAAUGUGUCGCCCUUCGGGGCGUCUUAUAGCCAGGGGUGCAAUGCGGCCAGCCGGGACCGAGGAACGCGCUUCGGCACGGAUGCUGGCGUAAUGGUUGUAAGCGGCCCGUCUUGAAACACGGACCAAGGAGUCUAACAUCCACGCGAGUGUUCGGGUGUCAAACCCGUGCGCGCAGUGAAAGCGAACGGAGGUGGGAGCCCGCAAGGGUGCACCAUCGACCGAUCCUGAAGUCUUCGGAUGGAUUUGAGUAAGAGCGUGGCUGUUGGGACCCGAAAGAUGGUGAACUAUGCCUGAAUAGGGUGAAGCCAGAGGAAACUCUGGUGGAGGCUCGCAGCGGUUCUGACGUGCAAAUCGAUCGUCAAAUUU
rnacentral:rRNA from 1 species